GACGAACGCUGGCGGCGUGCUUAACACAUGCAAGUCGAACGGUAAGGCCCUUCGGGGUACACGAGUGGCGAACGGGUGAGUAACACGUGGGUGAUCUGCCCUGCACUUCGGGAUAAGCCUGGGAAACUGGGUCUAAUACCGGAUAGGACCACUGCCUGCAUGGGUGGUGGUGGAAAGCUUUUGCGGUGUGGGAUGGGCCCGCGGCCUAUCAGCUUGCUGGUGGGGUGAUGGCCUACCAAGGCGACGACGGGUAACCGGCCUGAGUGGGUGACCGGUCAAACUGGGACUGAGAUACGGCCCAGACUCCUGCGGGAGGCAGCAGUGGGGAAUAUUGCACAAUGGGCGCAAGCCUGAUGCAGCGACGCCGCGUGAGGGAUGACGGCCUUCGGGUUGUAAACCUCUUUCAGCACCGACGAAGCGCAAGUGACGGUAGGUGCAGAAGAAGGACCGGCCAACUACGUGCCAGCAGCCGCGGUAA
rnacentral:rRNA from 1 species